GGAUGACUCGGCUUUAACAUUUGAGCAAAGCCCUAAACUCAGAGUUUGGGUUAAUGGAGCAACUGUUUAGUGGAUCUGUUCAACACGUCAGCAUGAACCACAGCUCAACCAGAUUACCACUAAGACAAUUAAACAUGGACAUCGAGGGGACAUGUAAGGAUAUGAUACGAGUGAAGUGAAGUUGCAACAAAACUCGUUGAAAUCGGUCUUCACUGUGUGAAGAAUGAGUUGUUGUUGCAGCCACCGAGGCAGAGAAGCUCUUGAGGACAGAGGCGAGGCAGCUCCCCACCCACACAUCUGCCAUCCACUGGACACUCCAAUCUAAAGCGUCUCACAGAGGCUCCUCUUAGAUUGUUUAGCUGCAGCGGUUUAUAUGAAUACAGAAAAAGAACCAACCCAAAGAGUCGGGUCCAUCCAGCCAUUAUAAUGAGGUCACAGUGACAUAAACACCGAGAACAGUGGCUGUAAUAUGCUUGGUCUGUGUUGCACUGACAUUUUGCAGGUGUCUUUAGAUAGCAGCUGCUGGUGGGAAAUAAAAAGUGCAGAACAAGUGGUUGAAAAGUUAAGCUGCCGG
ensembl:lncRNA